UACGAAGGGGGGCUAGCGUUGCUCGGAAUGACUGGGCGUAAAGGGCGCGUAGGCGGUUCAUACAGUCAGAUGUGAAAUUCCUGGGCUCAACCUGGGGGCUGCAUUUGAUACGUGUGGACUAGAGUGGGGAAGAGGGUCGUGGAAUUCCCAGUGUAGAGGUGAAAUUCGUAGAUAUUGGGAAGAACACCGGUGGCGAAGGCGGCGACCUGGUCCUUGACUGACGCUGAGGCGCGAAAGCGUGGGGAGCAAACAGGAU
rnacentral:rRNA from 1 species